GACACAACCUGUCCAGAUGCAUCAUAAUCUCUUUGCAGGUAACAGCUGAAAGGUACUAGUUCCUACAUUGCUGGAAGGAAGAAGAAAUACUCUUUAUAAAGGAAAUAAUUGGAGAUGCUUGGAAGGCAUGAUGAGGUGAGGCUGCUGUGGACAAACAUAGGGAUCCUUGAAGAGGAUGAGGACUUGCAAGGUGCCAAAUGAGAUCCUGGCUGGUGCAGUAGCAAAACCAACAGAUGUCCACCUCACUUCCAGGGAAUGUUAACCCUAGUGCUAUUUCCUGGUUACAUAAAUGUCUUUCUAAUGCUGGGUCGAUGGACCAUGGUCAUGACUUAUGGGUCUCAAUGUUUCUUUGCUUCUGCAA